GUCAGUGUAGUAUAGUGGUAGUACGCCGCGUUGUGGGAUUGCACGGAGGUGCGCUACUGCGAAUCCGCGUUGACGCUGGUUCGAUUCCAGCCACUGACA